ACAGAGUUUGUGAUCGCCUGUCUACAACAUGGCUGAAGCUGGUGACUGGGGAGGUGAUUCAGUGGCCUGUACAGCAAAGGAACAAAAAGAUAUAAACUCGGCAAUCUCUGCUUUCAUGUCAAACUGCGAUGAUCACCAGCUCUUACAGUUGACGAGAUUCUACCGGGACCGACUGGAGCAGGCGAUUGAAGAGAGUGUGCAGGGAAAGAGUUUAGAUGUCGGU